rnacentral:rRNA from 1 species
CACGUAGGGCGCGAGCGUUGUCCGGAAUUAUUGGGCGUAAAGAGCUCGUAGGCGGCCUGUUGCGUCCGCUGUGAAAAGCCCGGGGCUUAACCCCGGGUCGGCAGUGGAUACGGGCAGGCUAGAGGUAGGUAGGGGAGAAUGGAAUUCCCGGUGUAGCGGUGAAUGCGCAGAUAUCAGGAGGAACACCAUGGCGAAGGCAGCUCGCUGGACGGUACUGACGCUGUGGCGCGAAAGCGUGGGGGAGCGAACAGGG